GAAGAAAUUUUUCCUCAUAUCCAACCUGAAGUUAAACAACAAAUGUUGCUUGUGGACAGUUCUAUUCCUGGAUAACUUGGGAUUGCACCAUGCUUAUAGAUCAGUUCAAUUGAUGUAACAAGCCUUGCUUGACUCCUCAUAGAGUCUUUCAUCACAUCUUCUCUCAACACACGCUUAGCAGCAUCCUCAGUCUGGUUCAGUGUGUUGCUUACACUGGUACAGACAGCUUGGGAAACUGGCACAGAGUGGUGCAUGUGGCCAUUCCUAUGUGGAGCAGUCCCAGCUGGUGUGGAACGCACAGGUAUCCAUGCUGCUUUUCUUCGAUUGUAUCUGGAUGUGAUCACCACAAGACUGCACAAGAUAUCAGAAAAAUGGAGUGACCCUAUAGCCAAACUUUGAGCUAUGUGAACAAUUGCCCAACUGCCCAGGGAUCAGAAGAGGAGAGACAGCACUUGAUGCAGAGGAGAUAAGUUGAUGGCACUUGUUUUAUUCAUGACCCUUGUGAGCUAAAAUGGGAGGUAGU
rnacentral:lncRNA from 1 species